rnacentral:tRNA from 1 species
GCAUCCGUAGCUCAGCUGGAUAGAGUACUCGGCUACGAACCGAGCGGUCGGAGGUUCGAAUCCUCCCGGAUGCAUCA